rnacentral:misc_RNA from 1 species
AACGCACCUUGCGCUCCUUGGUAUUCCGAGGAGCAUGCCUGUUUGAGUGUCAUUAAAUUCUCAACCUUUGCUUACUUUUUUGGUUAGCAAAUGGCUUGGAUGUGGGGGUAUGCAGGUUUCUGUAAUGAAAUUAGCUCCUCUGAAAUACAUUAGCUGGUUGCCUUGUGUGAACCUGUCUAUUGGUGUGAUAAUUAUCUACGCCGUGGACUAUUCGCCGUUUUUAGCACUGCUUAUAACCGUCUGUUCAUUCGGACAAUAUAUGACAAUUUGACCUCAAAUCAGGUAGGACUACCCGCUGAACUUAA